rnacentral:misc_RNA from 1 species
AAAGAUCGCAGCCUUCGGCAGCUCCUACAGGGAAUCGCAUUUCAACUGUUGGAGCUGCCGAAGGCUGCGAUCUUU